rnacentral:lncRNA from 1 species
GGACCACCUGGAAACAUAUCAUUGCUAGCUUUAAUAGAGCCAUACACACCAAAUGAUCGACUUUCAUCUAGCAGCUUAACCUCCACACUGGCUUCAGCGGCAUUACUGAAGAUGGCCGAGUACACGGUUAAAGUCAAUUUUCCAUCAUCACUAGCUAACCGAUUAAUUAAGGGUCUGUUGAGCGAGUUCUGUCUUUCCAUCCCAAUGCUGUCAAAAGCAAACCCCUCAAGUUCGGUGAGUCGGUGUUCUUCUACUUCGGAUGAGGAGGAGUUGAUUGUCUUGUGCACGAGAUCCACAUAGACGAAAUUAGUACUAU